rnacentral:rRNA from 1 species
UACGUAGGGUGCAAGCGUUGUCCGGAAUUAUUGGGCGUAAAGAGCUCGUAGGCGGUUUGUCGCGUCUGCCGUGAAAGUCCGGGGCUCAACUCCGGAUCUGCGGUGGGUACGGGCAGACUAGAGUGAUGUAGGGGGAGACUGGAAUUCCUGGUGUAGCGGUGAAAUGCGCAGAUAUCAGGAGGAACACCGAUGGCGAAGGCAGGUCUCUGGGCAUUAACUGACGCUGAGGAGCGAAAGCAUGGGGAGCGAACAGG